rnacentral:rRNA from 1 species
ACAGUGGACGCGAGCAUCUGUGGCCAAGUUUUUAAGGGCGCACGGUGGAUGCCUUGGCACUAGGAACCGAUGAAGGACGUGGGAGGCCGCGAUAGGCCCCGGGGAGCUGUCAACCGAGCUUUGAUCCGGGGGUGUCCGAAUGGGGAAACCCGGCAGUCGUCAUGGGCUGUCACCCGCUGCUGAACACAUAGGCAGUGUGGAGGGAACGCGGGGAAGUGAAACAUCUCAGUACCCGCAGGAAGAGAAAACAACCGUGAUUCCGGGAGUAGUGGCGAGCGAAACUGGAUGAGGCUAAACCGUUUUGGUGUGAGACCCGGCAGGGGUUGCCAUGGCGGGGUUGUGGGAAUGAGCUUCAGUCGUCUGCCGGCGGCUGGGCGAGUCAGAAACCGUAUGGGUAGUCGAAGGACAUGCGAAAGGUCCGGCGUAGAGGGUAAGACCCCCGUAGACGAAAUCUGUACGGCUUGCUUGCUCAUCUCCCAAGUAGCACGGGGCCCGAGAAAUCCCGUGUGAAUCUGGCGGGACCACCCGCUAAGCCUAAAUAUUCCCUAGUGACCGAUAGCGGAUAGUACCGUGAGGGAAUGGUGAAAAGUACCGCGGGAGCGGAGUGAAAUAGUACCUGAAACCGUGUGCCUACAAGCCGUGGGAGCGUCGU